rnacentral:rRNA from 1 species
UACAGAGGUCCCAAGCGUUGUUCGGAUUCAUUGGGCGUAAAGGGUGCGUAGGCGGCGCGGUAAGUCGGGUGUGAAAUCUCGGGGCUUAACUCCGAAACUGCAUUCGAUACUGCCGUGCUUGAGGACUGGAGAGGAGACUGGAAUUUACGGUGUAGCGGUGAAAUGCGUAGAUAUCGUAAGGAAGACCAGUGGCGAAGGCGGCAAUCUGGCUCAUAACUGACGCUCAGGCACGAAAGCGUGGGUAGCAAACAGG